rnacentral:piRNA from 1 species
GAAGCUAUCGGAACUGGAUGAUCGCGC